GAGUUUGAUCCUGGCUCAGAACGAACGCUGGCGGCGUGCCUAACACAUGCAAGUCGAACGGAAUAAGGGGCUUGCUUCUUAUUUAGUGGCGCACGGGUGAGUAACGCGUAGAUAAUCUGCCUGAUGAUCUGGGAUAACAUUUCGAAAGAGGUGCUAAUACCGGAUAAGCCCACGACGGCCUUGGUCGACGCGGGAAAAGGGGGGGACCAUUUGGCCUUCUGUCAUCAGAUGAGUCUGCGUACCAUUAGCUAGUUGGUGGGGUAAAGGCCUACCAAGGCUACGAUGGUUAGCUGGUCUGAGAGGAUGAUCAGCCACACUGGAACUGAGACACGUCC
rnacentral:rRNA from 1 species